UGGGCAAUGUAUGAAUAUUGUUAUUGUUACUAGUCUACAGAACCUUCAGAAUGUAGGUUCCAUGAGAGCAACCACAGUUAACCACUGUGUUCUGAAAAUGUACCAGGGACUUGCUUGAAUCAGGCUGGGAAAAUUCCUGAAACUUUGCUCCAGCCUACCACUGAUUGGACUACACUCUAGCGACAACAAGACUGUAAUGUCAUGGAGUGUUCCCAGUGCAGGAGCAUCUCAUCAGACCUCCCCACAGUCCUGCUGUGCCCUGCCUUUCUCUGGGUCUCUCCCACUAUUCCAGCACUUUGACAUGUUGUGGAUUACACUCUCAGGUUCUUUCAUCAAUUUAACAUUAAAAUUCCUGUGAAAUAUUAAUGAAAUAAUGCUAAAAAAAAGAAAAAUGUUCCUACAAUACUGCAACAUUUUAAUGCCUCAUUAAAAUCAUUAGCAAUGCUAAUACUAAAGAACUUACUUCAUCUUUCAAAGAGCCAAAAAAUAAAUCAUAAUAAAAUGUUUGUUAACAUUACAUCUGGAGAAAUAAAUUAUACAAUGCCUUUCUGUAUGGGCUUUAUAUAUUCUAAAGAUGACACACUAAGGUCACACUAUUAAGUACAUGCAACUAGUUUUUUCUAUGGAA